rnacentral:sRNA from 1 species
AGAAAGGAAGGGACUGAGGAGAGAAGGGCUCCAAAAACCCUGAUGAGGGACAAUCUCAACACCAAUUAUACACGUGUAGGUUUUUUAGUAGUCAAACAAUAUUAAA